UAUGUAUCUUCCCCUUGUUGCUCUUCACUGUUUUAUUGCUACCCUUUUUUCAAAGUGACUUUCAACGUGAUAUCUGGCCCAGAUAGCACAGAUACGUCUUGCCGAUGUUGGCAUAAAGAUCGGUAGAUCGAAAGCGGUUUAGAGCGUCGAGUGGAAGUCGAUCGAAAGAAAUGGAUCUGUGAUGGUCGGUUCUAUGGGUUUACUUUGUACAAUCCUGCGUGGUCUUUUCCGUGGCCAUUUAUUUCCUGACCUAAGUCCUUAUCCGGCGACAAGAUAUUUUUGCUACAAAUCCAUUUUCAUAGAACAUAAGAUUUCCCCACAACCAGCCAAAGGAUGGAAGCAAUACCCACCUUGAGUACUCUUAGAAACAGAAUAGUUUCACAAGAUUGCAGAGCGGUGGGAGAAGUCAUGUGUGACAUCAGACCUCAACACAGACUAGGAGCAAGAAUGCCAAAGAGGCAGAUAACAUAUAAACCUCAGGAGGAGGAAGAUCAUCUUCCUUCCAAUACAUCUCAACAUCUCCACUAAAAUGGAAAGGAGGCUCCUCUUAAAACCACGAAUGUCAUUGGUUGUGAGAGCGAAGACAAACCACCAGAAUGGCAUUAGUAGUGGCAAGUGACAUAGAAGGCUGAACAGGGUAAAUAUGAAGUAACGUUAUGCUAAUUUGGAUGUUUUUUCUUUAAGUCACUAGCCAUCCAGAUCCAAGUUCCAGGCCAGGCCAGACCAGACCAUGUGAAAGGAAUUAACUUAAAUAGACAUGGUGAUUAACCUACCAGAACACAGCGAGUUGGAGGCCAGGAGUGGACGUCCAACCUAUAACUUCAAGUCAAAUGCAAGAAAGUAACACUCUUGGAAGUAGGCUGCAUGAGUAUAACACAAAAUUAAAGCUGCGAGCAGCGUUUCAGGGGGCUAAGCGGGCCAUAGGAAGCAUCUCACUGCAUGCUCUCACUAGAGAAAUGUUUUGCAAUUUAAAGAUGCCCAAUGCCGCUAGUAGUCAGGAUGUCCAAUCGAAG
ensembl:lncRNA